rnacentral:rRNA from 1 species
GGAAUUAUUGGGCGUAAAGAGCUCGUAGGCGGUUUGUCGCGUCUGCCGUGAAAGUCCGGGGCUCAACUCCGGGAUCUGCGGUGGGUACGGGCAGACUAGAGUGAUGUAGGGGAGACUGGAAUUCCUGGUGUAGCGGUGAAAUGCGCAGAUAUCAGGAGGAACACCGAUGGCGAAGGCAGGUCUCUGGGCAUUAACUGACGCUGAGGAGCGAAAGCAUGGGGAGCGAACAGGAUUAGAUACCCUGGUAGUCCAUGCCGUAAACGUUGGGCACUAGGUGUGGGGGACAUUCCACGUUUUCCGCGCCGUAGCUAACGCAUUAAGUGCCCCGCCUGGGGAGUACGGCCGCAAGGCUAAAACUCAAAGGAAUUGACGGGGGCCCGCACAAGCGGCGGAGCAUGCGGAUUAAUUCGAUGCAACGCGAAGAACCUUACCAAGGCUUGACAUGAACCGGACCGCUGCAGAAAUGUGGUUUCCCCUUUGGGGCUGGUUUACAGGUGGUGCAUGGUUGUCGUCAGCUCGUGUCGUGAGAUGUUGGGUUAAGUCCCGCAACGAGCGCAACCCUCGUUCUAUGUUGCCAGCACGUGAUGGUGGGGACUCAUAGGAGACUGCCGGGGUCAACUCGGAGGAAGGUGGGGACGACGUCAAAUCAUCAUGCCCCUUAUGUCUUGGGCUUCACGCAUGCUACAAUGGCCGGUACAAAGGGUUGCGAUACUGUGAGGUGGAGCUAAUCCCAAAAAGCCGGUAUCAGUUCGGAUUG